GGCUACUAGAAAUACAGGGAUAUUUUUCUUUUUAAAUUACACAAUAUGGCCUGGUUAGUACUUGGAUGGGAAACCACUUAGGAAGACCAGGUGCUGUAGGCA
rnacentral:rRNA from 1 species